rnacentral:rRNA from 1 species
GUCCACGCCGUAAACUAUGAGAGCUAGUCGUCGGGGAGCAUGCUCUUCGGUGACGCAGCUAACGCAUUAAGCUCUCCGCCUGGGGAGUACGGCCGCAAGGUUAAAACUCAAAGGAAUUGACGGGGGCCCCGCACAAGCGGUGGAGCAUGUGGUUUAAUUCGAAGCAACGCGCAGAACCUUACCAUCCCUUGACUUGCCUGUCGCGGCCCGGGAGAUCGGGCUUUCAGUUCGGCUGGACAGGACACAGGUGCUGCAUGGCUGUCGU